AGACGCUUCCUGCCUCGACAUAAAAUUGUGGCAUCGAGGAACAAAGCAUUAGAGCAGAAAUUCAAACCUCCCGUAUAUUCUCCAAGUUGCGAAGAAUGAAGCUUUACAACUCCCGCAGAUAAGGAAACGGAAGGAAAUGAGUCUCAUUCGCCAAGAGAUAAAAGAGGAGAUUUUCCGCGGAAACAUCUGUGUAAAAUAAACAUGGAGCACUUUUCCUGC